UACAAUAGUUGAUUUCUACCGAAGACUCAGGUGAUGUGAAUCUUAAUAUCCUGCCGAGGCCAGAAGAUUGUUAAUUAAUCUCUGUGUCUUUCGGGCGCAGAGAUUUUAUUUUAGCCGA
rfam:Lactobacillus sp. WiKim39, complete genome.